rnacentral:rRNA from 1 species
GUGCCAGCCCCGGGUAAUACGGAGGGUGCAAGCGUUGUCCGGAAUCACUGGGCGUCAAGGGUGCGCAGGCGGGGCAGCAAGUCGGCGGUGAAAGCCCGUGGCUCAACCACGGAAGUGCCUUCGAAACUGUUGCUCUUGAGUCCCGGAGAGGUUGCCGGAAUUCGUGGUGUAGCGGUGAAAUGCGUAGAUAUCACGAGGAACACCAGAGGCGAAAGCGGGCAACUGGACGGGUACUGACACUGAGGCACGAAAGCGUGGGGAGCAAACAGGAUUAGAAACCCGAGUAGUCC